AGUGAACGCUGGCGGUAGGCCUAACACAUGCAAGUCGAACGGCAGCACAGGAGAGCUUGCUCUCUGGGUGGCGAGUGGCGGACGGGUGAGGAAUACAUCGGAAUCUACCUUUUCGUGGGGGAUAACGUAGGGAAACUUACGCUAAUACCGCAUACGACCUACGGGUGAAAGUGGGGGACCGCAAGGCCUCACGCGAUUAGAUGAGCCGAUGUCCGAUUAGCUAGUUGGCGGGGUAAUGGCCCACCAAGGCGACGAUCGGUAGCUGGUCUGAGAGGAUGAUCAGCCACACUGGAACUGAGACACGGUCCAGACUCCUACGGGAGGCAGCAGUGGGGAAUAUUGGACAAUGGGCGCAAGCCUGAUCCAGCCAUACCGCGUGGGUGAAGAAGGCCUUCGGGUUGUAAAGCCCUUUUGUUGGGAAAGAAAUCCUAUCGGUUAAUAACCGGUGGGGAUGACGGUACCCAAAGAAUAAGCACCGGCUAACUUCGUGCCAGCAGCCGCUGUAACAC
rnacentral:rRNA from 1 species